GAUCUGCAUAUAUAUGCUUGUCUCAAAGAUUAAAGCCACUGCAUGUGUAAGUAUUAACUAUUCAGACUGUGAAACUUGCGAAUGGCUCAUUAAACUCAUUAUAGUUUGUUUGAUGUACUCUACUACUGAUAACCGUCGUAUUCUAGACUCCAUACGCUGCAAAAACCACGACUUCUGGAAAGCGAUGCAUUUAUUAGAAUAAAAGAGUCGACCCGGGAGCCUCCCGUUGCUGCGAUGAUCAAUGCAUAAAACUCGACGGAUCGUCCACGGCACUUACAGCGCACGCGCAUCAUUCAAAUUUCUUGCCCUAUCAAACUUUCCGAUUGGUAGGAUAGUGCCUACCAUGGUGGACGGGUGACGGAGAAUUAGGGUUCGAUUCCGGAGAGGAGCCUGAGAAUACGGCUACCAUCCAAGGAAGCAGCGCGCGCAAAUUACCAAUCUGACACGAGGAGUAUGAUCAAAAAUAAAACAAUCCGGCUCGAUCGGUCUGGUAAGUGGAUAGACAUCUAAUACCUUACGAGGAUCCAUUGGAAGGCAAGUUCGGUUGCCAGCAGCCGCUGGUAAUUCCAGCUCCAAUUAGGUAUAUUAAAGUGUAUUCAAAAAGUAAAAAGCUCGUAGUGGACUUUGCUGGGCCGGCGGUCCGCCCCCGGCCGUGAUGCAACCUCUCAUCGUCCCUUCUCUGCCAGCGAUCGCUCCUUGGCCUUAAUUGCCGGUGUCCUCCGCGCUGUUACUUUUGAAGAAAUUAGGCUGCUCAAAGCAAGCUGCUCUGUAUAAUUAGCCAUGGAUAACAUUUAGGAUUUCGGUCCUAUAACGUUGGCCUUCGGAUCGUAAGAGUAAUGAUUAACAAGGGACAGUCGGGCAUCGUUUUCUAGUCAGAAGGCUGAAAAUUCUUGAUUGAUGAAAGGAAACAACUGCGAAGAUUUGCCAAGGAUUAUUAAUCAAGUAACGGAAAGUUGGGGCUCGAAGCGAUCAAUACCGCCUAGUCAUCAACAGAAACGAUUGCGACCAAUGGAUCUGCGGUAUGAUUGCUUUUAGGACUCUCGGCACCUUAUGCAGAAAAUCAAAGUUUGUGGGUCGGGGAGUAUGUCCAGCCAAGACUGAAAACUUAAAGGAAUUAGGUAAGGGCACCACCAGGGGGAGCCUCGGCUUAAAUUUGACUCAACAGCGGGAAAACUUACCAGUCAACAUGUAACGGAUGACAGCUGAAGCUCUUCGAGAUUAUAUGGGUGGUGUGCAUGGCCUUCUUAGUGGUGGUAGCAUUUGUCUGUGUUAAUUUUUACGAACGAGACCUCAGCCUGCUAACUAGACUAUGCGAGAUAUCCCUCCGCGCCAGCUUCUUAGCAGGACUACGAGCCUUUCAAGCCGGUAAAGUUUAAGCUAAUAACAGGUCUGGAUGCCUAGAUUUCUGGACCCGCGCGCAUACACUGAUCGUAUUCAACGAGCAAUAUGCCUUGCGCUGACUAGGCCGUAAAUUGAAAUUCAUGUGAUGGGAUAGGAUUCAUUGCAAUUUUGUUGGUCUUCACGAGAAUUCUAUGUAAGCCGAUAAGUCCAUCACUCGCGUGACUACGUCACCUGCCCCUUGGUACACACGCCCGUCGCUUCUUCCAUUGAAUGAUCGGCAAUAAGUGUAUCGAUCGCGCGACGUGGGCGUUCGCCUGCCGCUGACGUCGCGAAAUCCAACUGAACUCUUAUCUUUAAGGAGAAGUCGCUAACAAGGUUUCCGUAGCGUGAACUGCGAAUCAUUG
rfam:Ipomoea nil DNA, scaffold: scaffold1688, cultivar: Tokyo-kokei standard.